GAAAAAAACACCUCAAAAAAACCUUUGAGGAAAUGAAUUUAUCAUAGGGAACAUGACUCAAUGUAUUGAAAGCAGGCCUUGGACAUAUUAGACUACACAUCUACUUUUCUCUCAGUAUACUCUCAGGGCAUUUCUACAUGAGGCAUUUAUGCUGCAACUUUACUGGGGCUUCUGCUUCCGGAUUCUUUAUGAGAUUAAGAUCGACACCUUUACACGUAUUUUUCUUUCUUUCUCUGCUUUUCUAUAUGUUUCAUUUUACAACCACUAGAGGGCACUGUGGUGUAGCAGAAUUAUGCAAUUACACACUAUAAAUACAAAGCAUUCAGGAAAAUACUAGACAUUCCUCAUUAAGAAAAAGGGGAGAUCGUUUACAUCUCAAUGUGAAGACUUCCUUCUGUCCAGCAGAGCAAGGAAAGAGAGUUCAUGCAUUACUUGUACAUUUUCUGAUCUUCCUAGUGGAUGUAACUCAGUACCAUUUCUCUUUGUUGUCUCAUUUAGAGAUAGGAUUGGACAGGGUUACCUGAGGAUGUCCCUCUGUUCUGUCCUCUUCCUUGGUUUGUAGUUACAUGUUGUGGUUAAUCUGGCUUCUAUCCUACUCAGUUAUGUUGAAGAAUACGCAUGGUGGUCUACUACUCCACUCAGGCCUGGGGAGUAGGGGAGGCCCAACUCUCAGAGGAAGGCUUAAUUGGAGAAGGAUCCUGUUUGUGAUGAGAGGAAGGGAUAAACCUAGUAAGGAGACUAUCUAUGUCCAUCAGGAAGAAAAGGAAAUUUUAGGUAGGGCAAAAAUUCCUGUUUUAAACAAACACCAGUAUAUUCAACAUGACUCCAUACUCUUUUAAAUAGAAAUCAAUUGAUGCUUUUCUAUUGAUUUUGACAGAAGCAGACCUGAGUUCCUACUGAUGAAACUUAUAGUCGGUGCACAGAGAAACCAGGACUGAGAGAAUAUGACAAAUUUGUUCUGGCACAUAGAUGAAGAACUCAGUGAACAUUUAAGACAAUGGCAUAGGAAUUAUCUGCAGUCAAAACUCACAGAUCAUGAAAAGAAAAGGGGCCGGCCCUACCAUUACACAGAGUAAAGCAGCCAGUUCAAGUGGCAGAUGCUAGGGAAUAUGGAGCAGUGGUGAGGUCUUGGAGGGCGAAACUGUGAGUUCCGUGUGGCCUGCCUUGCAGCUCCUAAGCUAGCCUCCCUUCCUCAGGGCACACAUGCUUUAAAAGACAGCAAGCUUCAGAUUUUUCUUUCACAUUGCUUAAUAAUUGUGCUUCUAC